GGAAAUGUACUCUCUCUAACACUGCAUCAGAUCUGUGUAUAAAACUAGUUUAUUGAUGGAGAAUCAGCGGCGACUCUAAGAUCAGAACAGUUCAGGAAACACACAAAAUCAAACAACUCAAGAACAAACAGGAAUAAUAAUAAUGUGUGUGUGUGUGUGUGUGUGUGUGUGUGUGUGUGUGUGUGUGUGUGUGUGUGUGUGUGUGUAUGUGU